CCAUGUUUGCAGCAAAGAGGUUUUCUCGGCAUAGAUCAUUGACGGAACUCAUACAUGUAUGUGAAUCAUCAAACUGACGAAGGUGAAAAGUACGAAAAGACUGUCAAAAUCUUAAGAUAGAUGAAGAUUUAUGCCUUAAGUGGGUUCGUCGAGUUACAAAUUUCAAACGUUUAUAUUUUGUCGAAUACGAUGGUGGAAGAAGCUAUAGUGCAGAUUUGCGGGUUUAUGCUGGAAAAAUGGCCCAUUUUUGUCACUCUUUUACUCAGGGUUGAUCUGUCAGGACCAGGGAGUGAGGAUUUUAGCAGGCAAGCAGAUUUAGGGAAAUGUUCAUGAGGAAAGUGACUUUUAUUUUAAGCCUGGAAACUAUCAUUGUGAAAAGCCCAUACUUGUGCUAAUGGUAACUCAUUCCUAUUCUGAUAAGCUAGAUUUAGGAAGGGCACUAUUUCAUGACAUAAAUUUGACAUAUACGCUGUGCACAACACUUCUAUUUGACUAUACUUUUAUAUUAGCCAAUACCAAUCCCUAAGUUUCAAUAGGGUCAGGAAAAAAAAGAAUGUACCAUAACUCUGUAAUCUUGAUUUCAUGUUAAAAAAAAAUUAUAAAGACCUGUUGAUAACUGAUGCAAGGAGAAAAAGAAUAUAUCAAAUUUGGUUGAAAAAUUAUAAUUAGCCGCAGGCCAGAUAAAGAAGAUUCUUAGAAUAAGAAAUGUGUACAAAUGUAAAAGCUAAGCAAAACUGUUUGAAAUACCUGCCUGUAAGUGUGCACCAUGUAGUAUAGUCAUUCCAAGAGGUCACAAUCCAGGUAAGAUAAGAAGGCAGCCUGGUUUAUGGGGGGAUCCCUUUAAUCCCAUCUGGGAUCUCAGGUGGGAAUGGUGGGCUCCCACCAGCACAGGUGGGAUUUACAGGAUCCUGCCUUAAAAUCUGGGCAUGAUCCCACCUGAGACAUUCCAAAAUCCAAAUUGGGAUCUCAAGUGGGAUUUUUGGGAUCCCACUGGGGAUCCCACCUGGGACAGACCAGGGAUCCCAGCUCCUGUUUUUACCUAGGUACACAUGCAGAUUUCUUAUAAACAUGUAAUGUAAGCCUGUCAUUACUACAAAACUUUGAUGCACACCUCAAAAGGUGAACACGUAGACUUCAGUUUCUAUUGAGUCAGUUUAGCUUAGUCAGGUUAAGUUGAGUUAAACUUUCUUGAUAAUGAUGCAAUCAGGACAAUUUUACAACUUGUUUAUAAAUGUUAGCCUAGCUGGAGAAUUGGUAGUGAACUACAGCCUUAGGUCUGGCACUAAAUUUUGAUCUUCAGAAGGUGCUUUAAAAAUAGAAAUUUGCUUAUGCACAAAGGAACUUAAUCCACUGUAAGAGGGUAGGCUUUCCUUUCUUCAUGUAAAAAAUACAGUGCUUACAAUCUUUCCACAAGCUCAAUGAACAGUGAGAGCUAGCAAGACUGAUAAUGACUAUGUUAUUUGUGUAAAUAUCAAGAGGAGGAUAAAAAGUAGGAUAUGGUUUGCACAACUCUCAUAUUUGAAAAGUUUAGCCCAUGAAGCUAAGGCACUUAUAUUCUUGCCUUGUGUAUUACAUGGAUGCCAAUUAUACAAAAAAGUUCCUCUUCAUCUGUGUGCCCCAAACGUAACAGAAGAAUUUCAAUUAUGAGAAGGUAUCCUUUAAUUUCAGUCCUAGAUAUAAUCAAAGGAGGAUCCUUGCUUUUCCAGAUUCCCACCUGUUAAAACUGACAUAAUAUUAUAAAUUAUCUUGUGACCAAUUUCUUAUAUCAAUGGUUAGUUUGGGUAUGAGCAUUAUUGUAAGAACGCCAUGCACUAUUGAAAGCUUGCUAAGCCUGAUUAUUUAAUGACAUCCAAAUAACAUUACAUGCUACAAUGUGGUCACUACAACAAAAUUAUAUAAUCAUGCAAUUCUCAACAAAGGAAGUCAGGUUACAGACUUGCCUUCUACAAUUCUAGAGGGCUUAAGGUAUAGAGGAAUAAGUAUAGUAAACAGUUAGAAAUAACAUAAAGCUGAUAGUUUGAAAGCUGAAAAAUGUAGAGUACAAUUCAUCAAACUCUCUGCAUCCAAACAAAAAAGAGUUAACUACUGCCAUAACUUCUUCCAUACAUUAAUGUUUACAGGAAAUCAUUAAUUUUUGUCACUAGGUGGCACUGUACUAACAAUAGUUCUGCCAACCACAAAUACAUAUUUUCAGUUGUUUCAUAA